UCCGACCCGACCCGCGGCGCAUUGUGGGAUCUGUCGGCUUGUCAGGUGGUGGAGGAAAAGGCGCUCCGUCAUGGGGAUCCAGCCGAGCCCCGUCCUGCUGGCCUCCCUGGGGGUGGGGCUGGUCACUCUGCUCGGCCUGGCUGUGGGCUCCUACUUGGUUCGGAGGUCCCGCCGGCCUCAGGUCACUCUCCUGGACCCCAAUGAAAAGUACCUGCUACGACUGCUAGACAAGACGACUGUGAGCCACAACACCAAGAGGUUCCGCUUUGCCCUGCCCACCGCCCACCACACUCUGGGGCUGCCUGUGGCUCCUUGGGACCACAGCAGGAAGCAAGACAUCUUGUUCUUUCAAAUCUCUUUGAGUAUUUUGAGGGAUGCAGCACAUCACAGACAACCCUUAUGUAGCUCUCUGCACGGUCCCCAGGCAAACAUAUCUACCUCUCCACCCGAAUUGAUGGCAGCCUGGUCAUCAGGCCAUACACUCCUGUCACCAGUGAUGAGGAUCAAGGCUACGUGGAUCUUGUCAUCAAGGUCUACCUGAAGGGUGUGCACCCCAAAUUUCCUGAGGGAGGGAAGAUGUCUCAGUACCUGGAUAGCCUGAAGGUUGGGGAUGUGGUGGAGUUUCGGGGGCCAAGCGGGUUGCUCACUUACACUGGAAAAG
rnacentral:sRNA from 1 species